rnacentral:rRNA from 1 species
AACCAGGAAACCCAGUCAUUUUUUACGGUGAUAACAGUUAAAAUAUAUUUCAUUCAAGUUAAACUAAUAGAUAUUAUAAAGUAAAAUUUGAAUAUUUAAAAAGUCCUAAGAAAACAAGAAUUUGAUCUGUGAAAUCCUUGAGGGAAACUGGGAUUAGAUACCCCAUUAUUCAAGGGCAUAAAAAUUUUUACCAGGGUACUACGAACUAUGUUUAAAACUCAAAGGGCUUGGCGGUGCUUUAGACCCCCCAGGGGAACCUGUCUCAUAAUCGAUAAUCCGCGUAAGACCUGACUCCAUUUAUUUGGUUUGUAUAUCGUCGUCAGCAGGUAACCUCCGAAAGAACAAAAGUUAGCAGGAAAACAAUAAGUUAAGAUGUCAGAUCAAGAUGCAGCUUAUAAUGGAGGGAGGAUGGGUUACAAUUAUUAAGUUAUAAGACCGAAAUUGGUUGAAAGACCAACUGAAAGGAGGACUUGGAAGUAAAAAAAAAUAUAUAAACAUUUUGAAUAUGGCUCUGAGGUGU